GGGAGAGGAGGCGAGGCUGCGCAGCGGGAGUCUGGCUGUGUCUCGGGAGAGGAAACACCUUGCUCUGUGCAUUAAUAACCAGGAAGAAGUGAAGAGGUAUCAUCGCAACUGUAAUCACAGCGGAGGGCAAGCAGUUCCCAAAGUGGAGAGUAGAAGCCGCCCUCGUAAGAGUGAGGAAGCAGAUGACAAUAGCCCCUGUCGCCGUGAGCAACAACAGCACCUGGAAAUAAAGGCUAUU